UUUUCAGCAGAGUGAUUACCCAAACUCUUGUUGUACUUCAUGGAAGCACCAGAGCUUUUCAUGUGAAACUGUAGUUUGUUUUCGUCUUUUUUUUUCUUUUUUUUUUUUCUCUUCUGUAACCUCAGUUUUUCUGUAACCUCAGUCUUGGAAAUAGCUGAAUCCCUUGAGCAAAAGCUUCCCAAAAAAGAUCCCAUUAGUCAGACAGCUAACAUCAGGAAUGCUUAGCCUGAAUUGUUCAAAGUUAUCCUGAAGCAGAGUAUUACAAUGGAAAAUGUUAAGUAGCCUCCGCAUAAAUGCGGCUACUUGUGCUGCCAUUAAUAACCUUGGCCUUGUAGAGAAUGUUCUUGUGCUGGCUAAAUUAGAUUAACCAGUAAAUUUUCUCCAUCUUUAAUGUCUAUCAGAUUUAAGACUUCUGGGCUUAAGCCUAUUGCCACUAAAGCUGAUGGUAAAACUCUGCUGGAUUCUGUGUGAACGCCGACUUUUCAGGAAUGAUGUCAGAAUUUCGCACUGCUGAAAUUGGAUUUUAGGUGUGUACUGUGCUCCAUGGAGAGUGUAUCCCACAGCUCCUUGUGAAACUUUGCUGAACAUUGAUCCUACCUGGCCCAACAUUAGGAAUUCACCUGAUGGGGAAGCACUGCCAGGAGCCACCUCCUAGACCAGAUCCUGCAAAGCUGGUGCCACUGGGGUUGUGGCUGCUGUGCCACCCAGCUUGCUGGUUGCUGUCCACAGCAAACCUUUUGAUGGGGUCACACAAGCUUCCACCACCUGCAAAGGGCUCUGGUGGAUCACUGGCCCAUGGUGACAUUCAUCUCAACUGCCUCCUGCUGCCUGUGCUGGACACAAUCAUCUGGGCGGCUCAGAGAAUGUGUGGUGGUUGGGGGACCAAUGUCAGCACCUACUUUUGGAUGAGAUGUUUGUGCUCUGAGCCCCACUGUUAUGUAUAGACAAGUCCAUAUCUUCAUCCAUGUGUACUACUCUGAAUUUCUACUUGGAAAUGUGUGACCCUGCACAUAAGGAGUGUCCUUGCUGAGCGUUGCCACCCUCAGCUGUGUGCCACCAGCAGGUGCUGUGCAUGUGUGCUGAUACCUGCCCUGAAAACCAAGUCUCCGCUGAUAAUCAGCCUUCAAAGUGCAGCGUGCACCCGUCCUGGGGAGAGCUUCAUGUUGCUUACAUGGAGUGUAUCACGUUGCCGGCUUUCUCGAUGUUUUUGAAUAGCUACAAAUAUUUUCUAUCGAGUUUUAUUAAGUGAGACCCACAUACUUCUUCCAGCUGUGACCGCGCGGUCUGUUUCUACAUAGCUGCUCACCCCGCCCUUGCUCAGCAACACUUCACAGUCAUGCUGUGGUGCAGAUGAAGAAUUUGGGUUUGAAGCUGGCAAUCUGAUUCCCAUUAAAGCUCUAUGGAAAUUUGCCACACACCUGCCUAGAAAGCUGGAAUAAAUAAUUCAGUGCUGCUCACUGGAUACCUAAUGGCAAGCAGAUAACUUGGAUACCCUUGUGCUGGGUUCGGCUCAUCAGCCCUGUCCUUUCAUGACAAGAGAAGGAAAAAGAAAGCAACAAAAAAGUAGCAAAACAGGCGUGGAGAGGUUAAAAAAGGCUGGGGACUUUCUCCUGGAAUCAGCUUUCAGCCCUUCUGAAAUGCAGGGGCUGACAUCUGGUCCAGCUGAGGAAUGCAGCAGCGAGAGCAAGCUGCUGGACCCGAUCACACUCACUGUGGAUAGUCAGCAGCAACGAGAACGCGGCCGAGCUAAUUGCUACAUGUUAAUAGCCAUACAAGGCAAAAAAAA